rnacentral:lncRNA from 1 species
UUUCUUUCUUUCUUUCUUUUUUUCUUUCUUUCUUUCUUUCUUUCCUUCUUUCUUUCUUUCUUUCUUUCCUUCUUUCUUUCUUUUCCUUCCUUCCUUCUUUUUUAACUUUUUUUCCAGUACCUGCAGUAUAUAGAAGCUUCUGGGCCAGCGAUGGAAACUGCCCUACAGCAGCAACCCCAGCCACUGCAGUGACAACACUGGAUUCUAAACCUGCUGUGCCACAAGAGAACCCCCAUCAAGGAUUUCUUGAUCUGGAAGUCCCUUCCUCACCAAGGGAAAAAAGAGAGAGAGAGAGUAGUAGUAGUAAAUUGUAUUUAAGUAUCAAUAAACAUUUCUAUCUUUCAUCUAUACUUUAAAUUUCAUCAGUAUAUUACUUGUGUUCAUUAUAUCACUAAUACUUGGUAAAAAUAAAUUAAAAGCUUGUAUAAUCCUGAGGAAAAACAAGUGUUCUAGCAUAGCCUCUUCUAAAAUGUUUCAUUGCAAUUAUUACUAUUUCUAACUGAAAAUAAACCAGUAUUUCAGUUACAUUUCCAGAUAAAUAAUAACAUAUGCCCUGAAUAUUUUCAUGUUUACACAGCACUUUCACAAAUUACCCAAAGAAUCUAGCCAUCAUCUGUAACAUUUCCUCCCUGGGGCAGCAAAAUUUGCUCUAAAUUACACAUAUAAAACAUACACAUUUUAGGGUAGCCUAAUUUUAACUCUAUAUUUCUAUAUUAUCAGAAUAUAAAUAUCUGAAACAUUUUAGAGAAAUCCAGCUAAAUGAAAUUUUCAGUGACUGUGGCAAUCAGUGUAUAAUUUAAAAAUCUAGGCAUAAUCAGAAGUGUUAUGGUGUGCCAUCUAAACCUUAGGACAUAACAUUGGAUACGGAAUUCUACAGAGUUGUAAUUCACAAUGUAUUUGCUUAAGAUUCUCAGAUUCUCCCAAAUUCAUUUGGCUUGGUUCCUAGAGUAACUUACAGCAGUAAAUUUGAAUGAACAUUAAAUUAAAUUAUUUUACCAGGUUAGCUAGCCAUUAAUAGGAAGAAAAAAAUGUGUUAAAAGAAAAAAGUCUGAUGUUAUACAUGUUUAAAAUAAAUAGACACAGGAGUUCCCCUGUGGCACAGAAGGUUAAGGAUUUGGCAUUGUCACUGCAGUGGCUGGGCUUGCUACUGUGGAGUGGGUUAGAUCCCUGGCCUGGGAACUUCCACAUGUUGCAGGUACAGCCAAAAACAUAAAAUGAAAAAUAAAAUAAGUAGACACAGAGCUUUUUUCCCCUCACUUUUCUAUUUCUGUUAGAGAACCAGGUAUCAAAUUCCACAGGUGGUGUGUCAACGGCACUGCUUCUGGCUGCAAAUGACAAACAUUUGACCAUCAGAGGCCUAUAGACUGACUGUCAAGGCCGUUUAUUCAACAAGAUGCCCAAAGGUAAACAGACUCUAUUGUUUUGACAGCUCCAUGGACUCCUCAAGGUCCAGGUCUUUAUCUCUAGGCCCACAGUUUCAUGGCCCCAUUAAGGAUGGAGCAGUUCCAGGCUUUGUGAUUCCAUGAAAAGUUAGCAAACACAGGUCAGAACACACAAGUUCUCCAGUCUCUUUCCCUUCUUUAAUUCAGAUAAGAAAUCCUUCCCUACUGUCUCCAGCACAUUCCCUUAACCUCUCCUUGCCCGAACAACAUCCAAUCCUAUACCAGUCACCGACAAAAAGCAAUGGCAUGGCCGUACAUGGCUUACCCGGUGAUGGGUCAUCCCUGGGGGAUGCUGCUUUUCACCAAUGACCAGCAUAUCAAUUAGCAUAGAUGAUGAAACUAUUUUACACCUAUUUUACUAUGGCACCUAUACCGACAGAAGGUUAGGUGAAACCCAGUACCUGCAUGGGAUAAAGUUCAUUUUUAGAAGUAGAGGCAGUGGUGCAUUCACACUGAUGGGAUUCUAGUAUGUAUCAGAAAUGACACAGCAUGCUUUCCCACUGGUCAUUCCCUUCAUUUGCAUAACAUCUUUCAGAGGCAGAUACUAUUAUUCCAAGUUUAGAAAAUCAGAUAAUAAAGCUCAUCAUUAAACUCAUGCAAAAUUAAGAACUUAUUUAUCAAUCUCUUUUAAAAUACCAUUUCAAUUUUUGUUCUCACUAAAACCCUAGAACAUCUGAAUUGCAUGAAACAUUAAGGAAAUUUAAAGUAAGAUAAAAUGAAGUCCAAGUGAAAUUAAAAAAAAAAAAAUUAAAGUAGACCAUAAUGCCAUCACUCAGCAAGAGCUGUUUUUUACAAUUUUGUAUCUUAUUACUAAUGUUUAUUUUCUAAGGUAGUCAUAUAUAACUGCUAUAUAUGAUUUUAAAGCCUACUUUUCAUACUUCAUAUUAUAUGGUAAAUGCUUUCCCAUGCCAUGAUUUUAAAGACAUGAUAUGUAAUGCCUACUUUGUUGAAAAUUUGUGUUAAUAAAUCUUUGCAAGUGUGUAUUUGUGCAAUGAACUCCUUCACACAAAGUCGAUGAACACAUUUCCUUUCCUUCCUUCCUUUCUUCCUUCCUUCCCUCUCCCCCUCCUUCCCUCCUUUCUUAUGCAAGUCUGGAAGAAUCACUGAACAAAGGUAAGGAUGAUUAUUGAAAUACUUCACAUUAAAUGAUACUACCAUCCAUUUCACUCUGCCUCUAAAAAUGCUGGUAUUAUAAAUUACUGCCAAAUUGUUAGAGACAAAAAAAGUUUCACUUUUCUAUAAACAAUUUUGCUCAGAAAGUAGAUUCAGCCAAUACUAGGGAUGAAGAGGAAAUUUAAGUCUGAGACUUGCCAUAGGAGCCUUGCCUUGGGCUGAAGUAUCUGCAGUGCUUGGCUUGUCAGGGAGGAGUUGUGUGGGAAACUCACCCUCUCCCUUUUCCUCUCACUGCUGCCAUUUAUCAGGGCCAUACCCUGCUCUUCCGUGAAGGGCAACCACACUGAACAGAGUCUUGGUUGGCUUUGGUUUCCAGCCUUUGGUGCAGGUAGGGAUGAUGUGAUUCCCAGCCUCAGCCUUGCAAUACUCGGCCUUCCCUCUUUUCCAACGUUUUGUCUUCUCCAAAGGAUAAAGGUUGUAGGUUCUACUGGGGUACUUUUACUUCCUAGAUACAGAGCCACUUCCCUAAUGGAUUUAGCAGGCCAUUCUUUCCUUUCUUUUAAUCUAGCUACCUAUAUAACUCUGGCAACACCUUAGAAUCACCUGGGGAACAUUAUAAAGACUACUGAUGUCUGCCACUCCCUUCCCUGUCCAAAAAGGGUACUGAUCAGUCUAAGGUGGGGUCUGAGCAUGGGUAUAUAUAUUUUAUUGCUCCCCCAUGGCAUUCAAAAUGCAUUCAGGGUUGAUAACUCCUGAUAACAGCCUCACUGCACUGCAACUACAUGAAAUCCCUCCCAGUUACACCAUGUAGGUCUCCCCUCCCUGCCUUUCAAUGCUGAUGCAGGUGUCCAUACCUACUCUCUCCUGCACCACAGCCCUUCUUUAUACUGUCUGCUCUUUCAGCAGGAAUCUGCUCCCCUCCAUUUCACUCUCUAACCAAUUACCUUCUCAAAAUAUCCACUUGCAUAUCUAACAAGAAUUGAGAACACAUGAUGCUUAAAACAACUUUCACCCCCAUCCUCUACCCCCAAAUCCUCUCUCAACUCUCCCCACCUCAGUUAACGAUUCCACCAUCCCCCUUCUCACUCAAGACAGAAGCCUAGGAGGGAGUCUUGAUUCAUUUCUAUCUUUUCUUCACAAAAGUCCUCCUUCCAAACUGCAGGGCACAACUGAUCUGACAGUGCAUCUACCCACAACUCCUGCCUCCACUCUAGUCUAAGAUGAUAGGAUCUUUUGGCUGGAACACAGCUAACUAUGGCCUUCUCACCUAUCUCUUGUCUCCAACUGCAACUCCUAGAAGGCAGCUCUACACAGCGUGCAGAAGGACAUAUUAUAACACAUAUUACCAUCUUCCCCUCCCUAUAUCCUCCCUCUGGUUUCCCAUCACAAUAACAACAAGGCCAAAUUCCUGAAAUGUCUUACUUUGUGUAUCUGUCCCACUUCACCUCCAACCACUCGUAGACAUACUCAUUAUGCUCAGGCACACUGGACAUUUUCCUGUCCUCCAAGGCCCUUGAACCUUAUUUUUUUCUCUUUCUAACAUACUUCUGUCCCAGGUAUUACCAUACCUGGCUUCUUACAUUUGAGACUCAGUUCAACGACCAAUGACCUCAGCAAAGGCCUCCCUGAACAUCUAUAUAAAUUCAGAGGUCUAUAAUCCUGCUCAGCAUUUCUCACUGGUAGAAACUGUCUUACUUAUGUAUUCCUAUGUUCCUAUAUGAAUCCCCCAUUUGAAUGCUCCAGGGGGUCAAUGUUUGAGUCAGUCUUCAUCCUUAUGUUUUAGGCCAGCUACCGAAAACAGCAUCUGGCAAUAGUAGGUGCUUAAUAAGUCACUGAAAAAUGAAGGAUACUGAUAAGGACUGUGAGGAAGAAAAGUCAGGCAGGAUUGCUCAUGUUACUGACUUAUCUGAACAGAUUCAUUGCCUUUUAAGCCACAAUAAACAUUUUUUGUGUGUGUGUCUUCUUUUUUGCCUUUACUAGGGCCGUACCUGCGGCAUAUGGAGUUUCCCAGGCUAGUGGUCUAAUCGGAGCUACAGCUGCCAGCCUACACCACAGCCACAGCAACAGAAGAUCUGAGCCACAUCUGCCACCUACACCACAGCUCAUGGCAACGCCGGAUCCUUAACCCACUGAGCAAGGCCAGGGUUCGAACCCGUAACCUCAUGGUUCCUAGUCAGAUUUGUUAACCACUGAACCAUGACGGGAACUUCCACAAUAAACUUUUUUUUUUUUUUUUUGGUUUUUUUGCUAUUUCUUUGGGCCGCUCCUGCGGCAUAUGGAGGUUCCCAGGCUAGGUGUUGAAUCGGAGCUGUAGCCACUGGCCUACACCAGAGCCACAGCAACGCGGGAUCCGAGCCGUGUCUGCAACCUACACCACAGAUCACGGCAACGCCGGAUCAUUAACCCACUGAGCAAGGGCAGGGACCGAACCCGCAAUAUCAUGGUUCCUAGUCGGAUUCGUUAACCACUGCGCCACGACGGGAACUCCCACAAUAAACAUUUUUAUCAU